rnacentral:rRNA from 1 species
AUUGAACGCUGGCGGCAGGCUUAACACAUGCAAGUCGAACGAGUGGCGGACGGGUGCGUAAUGUCUGGGAAACUGCCUGCUGGAGGGGGAUAACUACUGGAAACGGUAGCUAAUACCGCAUACCAUCGGAUGUGCCGAGAUGGGAUUAGCUAGUAGGUGGGGUAACGGCUCACCUAGUCGACGAUCCAUAGCUGGUCUGAGAGGAUGACCGGCCACACUGGAACUGAGACACGGUCCAGACUCCUACGGGAGGCAGCAGUGGGGAAUAUUGGGCAAUGGGCGCAAGCCUGAUGCAGCCAUGCCGCGUGUAUGAAGAAGGCCUUCGGGUUGUAAAGUACUGUCAGCGGGGAGGCGUUACCCGCAGAGGAAGCACCGGCUAACUCCGUGCCAGCAGCCGCGGUAAUUC